rnacentral:piRNA from 1 species
UGGCAAAAUAACGGGGCCAUGUUUGAUUAUA